CACUACUCCCCCUGUGGUCGUCCGUUGCCCUCCCGACCACGUCGGGCGUAUUGAGUCGCGUCGUCUACGACCGACGACGGAGUAGAUCCUACCCAGUCGACCGUAGGUUAGAAGCGCGUAGUAAGAGCGCGUGGACGGACCGAACCUACUACUAGUUAGAAAUGGGAGGGUAUAGAGCUGGUAGGGGUAGGGUAGGAACGGACCUACUACUAAACCGUUCCGUAGAAGUAGCGUUGGUUUCCCGUAACCCCGUAAAUCGACUUAAGUUUUAGGGUCGACGAGGCCGUACCGACCGGUUUGUUUUUCCCCGUUACCCCGGGGUAAGGGUUAAGGACGUACCUUACGGUAGGUAGUACGGGGAACGUAGGUCCGGGGUACCCCUAACGGUAAACGGGUUUACGUACGUUACCUUACGACGAACCCUAAACCGUACCGUAAUCCGGGGAACCGGGGUAAGGUAGGAAGGACGGCGGGUCGGACGUAGGUGGAACGACUUGGGGGUAGGGGGUAAAUAACGUCCUUACAAGUUACGGUCGAGGGAAACGGGAAACACCGCCAACGACCCGUAACGGGUUACCCGACCCUAAGCGUGUCGACUAGGGUAAGGGGAAAGGAUGGUGGUAGUCGCUGGGACAACCCAGGGAGGUUUGGCUUAGAAGCAGCCACCCUUGAAAGAGUGCGUAAUAGCUCACUGGUCAAGUGAUUCCGCGCCGGUCGACGCGGCCG
rnacentral:misc_RNA from 1 species